rnacentral:rRNA from 1 species
GAUGAACGCUAGCGGCAGGCUUAAUACAUGCAAGUCGAGGGGUAGCAAGAUUGUAGCAAUACAAUUGUUGACGACCGGCAAACGGGUGCGGAACACGUACACAACCUUCCUACAAGUGGGGAAUAGCCCAGAGAAAUUUGGAUUAAUACCCCGUAACAUAGCGAUGUGGCAUCACAUUGCUAUUAUAGCUUCGGCGCUUGUUGAUGGGUGUGCGGCUGAUUAGAUAGUUGGCGGGGUAACGGCCCACCAAGUCUACGAUCAGUAGCUGAUGUGAGGGCAUGAUCAGCCACACGGGAACUGAGAAACGGGCCCGACUCCUACGGGAGGCAGCAGUAAGGAAUAUUGGACAAUGGACGCAAGUCUGAUCCAGCCAUGCCGCGUGAAGGAUUAAGGUCCUCUGGAUUGUAAACUUCUUUUAUAAGGGACGAAAAAAGGUCUUUCUAGAUCGUCUGACGGUACCUAUGAAUAAGCACCGGCUAACUCCGUGCCAGCCGCCGCGGUAAAAC